UACGGGGGGGGCAAGCGUUGUUCGGAAUUAUUGGGCGUAAAGGGCGCGUAGGCGGCCUGGCAAGUGACGGGUGAAAGCCCUCGGCUUAACCGAGGAACUGCCUGUCAGACUGUUAGGCUUGAGACCGGGAGAGGUGAGUGGAAUUCCCAGUGUAGCGGUGAAAUGCGUAGAUAUUGGGAGGAACACCAGUGGCGAAGGCGGCUCACUGGACCGGUACUGACGCUGAGGCGCGAAAGCGUGGGGAGCAAACAGG
rnacentral:rRNA from 1 species